UACGUAGGGUGCGAGCGUUGUCCGGAAUUACUGGGCGUAAAGAGCUUGUAGGCGGUUUGUCGCGUCUUCUGUGAAAACUUGGGGCUCAACCUUAAGCUUGCAGGCGAUACGGGCAGACUAGAGUACUUCAGGGGAGACUGGAAUUCCUGGUGUAGCGGUGAAAUGCGCAGAUAUCGGGAAGAACACCCGUGGCGAAGGCGGCUCUCUGGAACGCAACUGACGCUGAGACGCGAAAGCGUGGGGAGCAAACAGG
rnacentral:rRNA from 1 species